AAUACUUUGAAGGUGACUGUAGAGAUAUUCGGCAAUGAGAUGAUCUAUAGAGAUACCAUCCUCCUUGAUCUUCCUGUGAUCCUACAUGUCUUCCUGGAUAUGCUAAGAAUAUGUAUUGCAGCUGAUGGCACUGGAACCUAAGUCUGCAAACUAAGGCCUGAGAGCCAACUCUGACCCAAGGCCUGUGUUGGAAUGACUUCCUUUUGCAUGGCCUGCAAGUGAAAAAUAAUUUCUACAUUGUUAAAGUUUGAAACAAAAUAAACAAAAAAGAAUAUGUGACAGAGAUCAUAUGUGGUCUACAAAGCCUAAAAUAUUUACCACCUGGCCCUUUUCAGAAAAUGUUUGUGGACCUCUGCACUAGAACAAAUCCCUAUGAAGGUAAGAUUUUUAUCAAUUUACUGUUGUUUCUCAGUGCCUAGAA